rnacentral:rRNA from 1 species
GAUUAACGCUGGCGGCGUGCAUAACACAUGCAAGUCGAACGAUGAAACUUUAAUGACCCCUUCGGGGAGAAUUAAAGCGGAUUAGUGGCGAACGGGUGAGUAACGCGUGAGUAACCUGCCUUACACAAGGGGAUAGCCUUUGGAAACGAAGAAUAAUACCCUAUAAAACCAUAAAAGCACAUGCAAUUAUGGUCAAAGUGAUAGCGGUGUAAGAUGGACUUGCGUCUGAUUAGCUAGUUGGUGAGAUAAAAGCCCACCAAGGCAACGAUCAGUAGCCGGCUUGAGAGAGUGUACGGCCACAUUGGGACUGAGACACGGCCCAGACUCCUACGGGAGGCAGCAGUGGGGAAUUUUGCACAAUGGGGGAAACCCUGAUGCAGCGACGCCGCGUGAUUUAGAAGGCCUUCGGGUUGUAAAAAUCUUUUGUAUAGGAAGAAAAUGACAGUACUAUACGAAUAAGGUCCGGCUAAUUACGUG